UCAAUGGCUAAAAGUGCUUGAGUUAUAGUC
rnacentral:piRNA from 1 species